rnacentral:rRNA from 1 species
AGUGAACGCUGGCGUCAGGCCUAACACAUGCAAGUCGAACGGCAGCACAGUGAGAUGUUGCUCUUACGGGUGGCGAGUGACGGUCGGGUUAGGCAUACAUCAGAUUCGUCUAUGUCUUGGAGGAUAUCGGAGCGAGACUUACACUAACUCCGCAUACAACCCACGUGUGAAAUCAGUCGCUCAUUGGGAUUUUGGCGUCAUAAUGAGCUGGGGUCGGUUUAGCUAGUGGGCGGGGUAAAGGCUCACCAGUGCGACGAUCCGCAGCCGGUCCGAGAGGAUGAUCAGCCACACUGGAACUGAGACACGGUCCAGACACCUACGGGAGGCAGCAGUAGGGAAUCUUAAGCAAUGGGCGCAAGCAUGACCCAGCCAUACCGCGUGAGUGAUGAAGGCCUUCGGAUCGUAAAGCUCUUUUGUUAGGAAAGAAAAACUGUGGGAUAAUAGCCCCCUGUUCUGACGGUACCCAAUGAGUAAGCCCCGGCUAACUUCGUG